UACGUAGGGGGCAAGCGUUGUCCGGAUUUAUUGGGCGUAAAGAGCUCGUAGGUGGUUCGGUAAGUCGGAUGUGAAAUCUCCAGGCUCAACCUGGAGGGGUCAUUCGAUACUGCCGUGACUAGAGGUCGGUAGGGGAGUGUGGAAUUCCUGGUGUAGCGGUGAAAUGCGCAGAUAUCAGGAGGAACACCAAUGGCGAAGGCAGCUCGCUGGGACGUGACUGACGCUGAGACGCGAAAGCGUGGGGAGCAAACAGG
rnacentral:rRNA from 1 species